GGAAUCGGUAGCCUCCCGCCCAAGGUCUGCAGGCUUUCUUCCGUUCUUGGGCUCUUUGGGCCUCGCCCCUCCCUCUCACAUUCCCAACUCCCAAGGACAACUUGUCGCUGGCUUCAGACGCCCGCCCUGCCUGAGGUUUCCUUGUGUCCCGGACUCUGCUGUUUUUCUUUUGUCUAAUUUGUCCAUUUCUGCACUUGGCAAUUUCUUGGGAACUAACUUGAAUCUACUUCUCCCUUGUCUGUAAUAGUCUCUUCUCUCUCUCUCUCUCUCUCUCUCUCUCUCUCUCACACACACACACACACACACACACACACACACACACACACACACACACACACUGUCUUCUUUUCUUCCUCUUAGCCAUCUCUGGGUCUUCCAGCUGGCUCUGGCCUGUCCCUGGCACCUCCCAGCUACCUACUGAUCCGACGGCGCCCAAGCCGGUAUAGGCUGGUAAGACUGCUCCCGGGAAGGAGGCUCCGGGAUGAUCCACGCGGCCGCGCCCCGCACCCACCGGCGGCGCCACGGAGACGCAGAGUUCUCCAGAUCCUCCAAGCGCCGUCGGCGCCACCACUCCAGACACUGUUCACGAGGCCUCAAAGCGUGGAGGCGGUGGCCCGGGGCCGACUCUCGGGUGACCGCCAAUUUGGUCCCAAGACACUUCAGGAUCUCGCAACGGAUGGAGGACAGCGCGGUUCCAAGAGAGGGCGCCAAAGGCGACGCGCUGGCGGCCAGCUCCAAGCCAACCAGGCCCAUUGCGUCCGUCUGCAGGAACCUGUCCCUUCACCCUGCUUUGGACACUGAGCUUCGGAGGAUCUGGCUGCGAGCUGAUUCAACGCCAGGGCGCCGCCUAGAGGACAAGAGGGGAUAUAAACUGUUUGAAGUUCAUCAGCACGGUGAAGUUUUAUUGUAUUUCCGGUCCCUAAAAGAGAAGCCGGCAGCCAGGCAGACUCCCUCCUUAUCUCCGAGUUUCCACGCCAGGGACACACACGUGGCCAAGCGGACACUUGCCUUCGGGAGCAGGGAGGGAGAGAGCCCGCUCCGAUCGACUCUCCCUCACCGGCUCAGGUAAGUCUAAGAGGCCUCUGAUAGUUGUGGCAUCAACUGAGCCACAACCUGUGAGGAUGUGCGAAGUGACUUUGUAGGGAUGGAAGAGAGCGGGAGACA
ensembl:lincRNA Gm53 predicted gene 53